rnacentral:rRNA from 1 species
AUACAGAGGUGCAAGAGGCGAACCAGGGGAACUGAAACGUCUAAGUACCCUGAGGAAAAGAAAUCAACCGAGAUUCCCUUAGUAGUGGCGAGCGAACGGGGACCAGCCCUUAAGUUGAUUUGAGAUUAGUGGAACGCUCUGGAAAGUGCGGCCAUAGUGGGUGAUAGCCCCGUACACGAAAAUCUCUUAUCAAUGAAAUCGAGUAGGACGGAGCACGAGAAACUUUGUCUGAAUAUGGGGGGACCAUCCUCCAAGGCUAAAUACUACUGA